AGAAAAAUUAUAGAUAUUAUAAUAUGUUUGGAAAACUAAAUAUUGCCUUGAAAGUCCUGAGCUUCUGUCUGGCGAUAGUGAUUAUAAAAACUCAAGGAACUCCGAUAGAUGUUUACUUUUUAAACAAGUAUUAUGAUCUAAGAAACAAUAAUUGCAACACAUGCAAUGACAUGGAAUGUGUUGUUAGUGAAGAUGAAUACAAAUACUCCCCUCUUA